AAAUUUUGGACAAUGGGCGAAAGCCUGAUCCAGCAAUGCCGCGUGCAGGAUGAAGGCCUUCGGGUUGUAAACUGCUUUUGCACGGAACGAAAAGCUUUCGGUUAAUACCCUUGCGUCAUGACCGUACCGUAAGAAUAAGCACCCGCUAACUACGUGCCAACAGCCUCGGUAACACGUAGGGUGCAAGCGUUACACGGAAGUACUGGGCGUAAAUGGUGCGCAGGGGGUUUUGUAGGAAAGAGGUGAAAUGCCCGGGCUCAACCUGGGAAGUGCCUUUGUGACUGCAAGGCUAGAGUACGGAAGAGGGGGGUGGAAUUCCGCGUGUAGCAGUGAAAUGCGUAGAUAUGCGGAGGAACACCGAUGGCGAAGGCAACCCCCUGGGCCUGUACUGACGCUCAUGCACGAAAGCGUGGGGAGCAAACAG
rnacentral:rRNA from 1 species